ensembl:lncRNA
GCCUGCGAAUGCUCAGCACUUCCAGUAGGGGUCAGGAUGACAUUGUCAGAUAUUUUGUAAACGUGCUGACCUGAAUACGAGCCUUCCAACACUCCUUAUUCGCACAGACAAAACCUUAGGACGGAUCUAACAACGCAGUCUGGGCUCUGUGCCAAAGGCUGGUAUUUCACAGCAGCGACCGCCUUACAGAUGAGCUGUGGGAAGCAGGAGGGAGACUCUCUUAGGGUGCCACUACUAUGGAGACACAGCUGGGCUGAACAAGAUUUGCUUCAAACGACAACAAGAGAGACAGAAAGUGUCUGGUUCGACCGCUGCCCAAGCAGGCAGUAACCAGAAGAGCUAGCAGCCAAUCCGGCCAUGCUGCACUGUUCGAAACCAGCUCUACAUCCCAGCCAAUCAGUGACAUCACUGGCCUGGAAAGUGACGUUUUCUGUAGAUGUCAACUUCUGUCUGGUGUGAUGCUCUGUUCUUCUGGUGAUGUCACAUGCAGCACUGAGUAAUAUUGGUAAAUGGAAGAGGUCUCUUAGAAUAAGGUGUCUGCCUACCAGUCAGUUUUGCAGCGGGAUCAUUUGUAUCGCUUCACUAACUGCUGGUAAGUCCUGAGAUCAUUAUUUAAAGUUUGUAUUACCAUGUCACCACCAACAAAUUCAGGUGCUUCCUUUUCUGGCAUAGAGAUGGGUGAGACUCCCAUCGCCUCUGACAUGACUCCCACAGAAUGUAGUCAUAGUGCUCAUCCCUACUGCACAGGGCUGGCAGGCUGUUGGGGCCACAAUGGAGACACAGUCUGGCCUGCUGUGAUGGCUGGCAACUAUGAACCUGGCCUGGCUAGGAUGGUGCUGCAGGGCUCGGCAGCUUUUUCUGGUUGGAACAUAACUCUGCACCAGCAGCACCAGAACUGGGUUUACCAUCUCAGUACCAUUAAAUUGGGUGGGAGUUUUGUCAUGGUCUUCUUCACUCAGAAGAAAAUUUCACCUUAAGUUUCUAAGAAAUAUUUAGUGGCUAUCUUCUUGCUUGUGGGAAGGCUGACAUUGUCUUGAUGUGAUUCAAAAUAUUUUUCAUUAAAGAUGUUACUAAUUGCCUCUGUCCUUAAAUGGAGAGUCAUAGUGUUCAAAAAAUCAAAAUGCACCUCUGACAAUGUAGUUAAAAUAUAAGUUGUAUAUAUUUUGUUUUACUAGUCCUUGUAUUUUGUCUUUGAAGCAGGAAAUAUUUAUUUUAUUUUUUAGUCCAUCAUAGAAAGAGUGAUUAAUUGCCAAAACAAACUCAAAAUUUUGCCUUUUACAUGAUUUAAAUUUAUUUGGCUAUCUGGCUAUUAUUUUCUACUGACACCUAUAAAUGGUGGUUGUUUUCCCAUGAUCACUGCUACAUCAAGUCAGCUGAAAAACAUUUGAGAUCUCUUCUCGGUCUUCAGGUUUUAUUACUCUUCCUUCACCUCUUUCUGUUUUUCCCAUAUCCUUUUAAAAAUAUGAAAGAAUUUGUAAACAUUACUCUGAUUACUGCUGUUACUGCAGCUGGAGCAAAAAGCAGUCCUCUGUAACCCUUACUUUACUGGCCAUGUACUGGCCAGGACCUUAUACUGAACUGUAGAUCCCAGUGCUUCCUCUCUACACUUCAGCAGUGUCUCUUUCAGUUUGUCUUUCUGAUCUGAGGAUGACUUUUGAGUGUGUGGUUUUCAUACAAAUUUGCAUUCUCCACUUAAAACCAUUUUGGCUGGGUUCAUACUUAAUGUUCCUUGUUACCAUUGCUUUUCUUCUUUCUUCAGAUGUUAGAAAUUGCUUACUUUUAUAGUGGAUUCUGCUCACUGUCCAGCUGAUGUGAGUGUGGGAUCUCAGAAUAACAAGCCAAAAGGAAAAGUUUAUGCAAAGGUCUUUCGAAUAAUGCUAUAUCUACAGUUAUUCUUCAGUUCAAAAGAUUUUGAUUUUGGAUGUUGGGCAUGUAGUAUAGUUUUUGGUUUACAAAAGGAGUGAACAAUGAAGAGUGAAAUACUCAAGAAUAUUUGCUGUGUGAACUACAAGUAUGGGUGGCUGCUAAAUGUUGAGUUCGUAGAAAUUAGGCAUAUCACUGUAUGCUCAAAAAGCACAGAGUCACCAGCACAUUUAAAAUGAAGCAGGUGAUAGUGGCCUAGGUUCUUCUAUAAAAGAAAUGCUGGACUUCAUGGUGAUGGCAUUCCUAAACUCAGACUUGAUGUCAACAGUUUGACUUUUCUUCAUUUUCUUUCUCUCUCAAAUACUUUACAAUCACGAUUUCUUUUCUUCCUGCUUCCAUUCAUUUCUCUCCUGCUUCCAUUUCCUCCCUUUACUGUGAAUUUUUUGUUAGGCCUUAUUUCUUUUCUUUCAUUUUUGAUUUUUCAGAGAUCAGAUCUUCUCUUUUACUCUCCUUGUUUUCUCUUACUGAUUUAUUUGUCCAUAAAAUCCAGGUCAUUUUUAUUACUUUGUGGACUUUUCAUCCUAUCACUGUACGUAUUUAUUUUAUAUGUAUGAGGAAAAUUUUCUUCUGUGUUGUCUUUCGGCCUAUAAAAUUAUAAGAAGUUAUAAAAUUUAUAAGGAGAAAAGAAUAUGAAUCUGUACAUGGACAGCAGUGGAAGACAGCUGUCCAAACAGGCUGUAUAUUUGGUCAUAGAUUUAUUGGAAGAUAAGUCUGUUUUAUUCAAUAGAAUGUGCAUUUCUGAUAUUUUCUUUGCAGUCAGUAGAGAGCUGAACAUAAACCCACGUAAUCAUUCUGAAUAGUAGUACUGGUAGAACAAGAGUGAAGUCUUCUUUUAUAUGUCAUUUUCUUCUGGAAAUUUUCUUUCAGAAAUAAGGAGAAGUUUUUAAAAAAUAAAGGAUAAAGAUCAUACUUUGUCUGGAAACUACGAAUGAACUACUACUGAAAAUAUAGAGAGUUUGGAAAGUAAUGCCUCCUAUUUAUUACCAUGGAAACUUUAAAAGAUACAAAGAGCACAAUAACAAUAUUUGAUAGAGCAAAUUCACGGCUAAAAAGCACUCUUUUCAACAUAAUCAUCACCAUUAGCUAUAUCUUUUCACCAACAAUGUAAAAAAACUUGCACAAGUGGAGGUAACUCACUGUUGCUGUCACCACAGCCAAAACACACCACCUCACUGUGCUCACAUCCACUAUUUGAUACCCACAAAUAUUCUGCAAACAUCAGUUAAUGUCAAUGGGCACAAUUUCUUUUGCAUGGAGGAAUUCAGUGACACAUCUUUGCUUCAUCCACGCUUCCAUGUCAGGCACUACUUUGUCAGACUGCCUCUCCGCUGCCAUCUAUCACACAGCAACAAAAUGUAAUGGAAUUUUGGCAGGAAGGUUCAACCUCUGCUUCCAUACAUCCUCCUUUGAUGUUGUGGGCCAGCAUAAUAAAAUAGGAAGCAUUACUUUUGGAGCAGCCCUCAUGUUUUUUAGAGUAGUCUUUUUCCAACAGGUUGCAUUAUUUUCACAGUUACCGGCCUAUGUGGAAAAAAAAAAAAAACUUUUCUACUCUUACCAGCAGAAGCUGUUAGAUUCCACACUGAAGGAAACAGCCUAUGUGCAAUACAGUGUGUGCUGUCUGCAUUAUGUUUGUUGUAGAUGAUACCUUGAAUUUCUCCUAAGCUGAGAAGAAGUCUGCUCACUCUAUAUAUUCGUUAAACCGAUAUAAAUGAGAUUUUCCAUUUGCUUCCAUUCUGUAGAGCUCUUUUGUUAUUUUAAUUACUAGCAUAUAUUGUAAAAGUUUGUUACGCUAUUACAAGUAACCUAGUCAAUUGGUAAUGAAAAUUAUUCUUGGAAAAACAAUGGCUUGAAGUAACAUAUCUGUAUUACCCAAAUUUGACAAAAUUACAGUGUAGGGAAAAAAUAACAAUGUGGAAU